UAUAUUUUAGUAUAAGAGGUACAAGGAUUUUUGAUAUCCUAAGGAAUAGUUUGAUUCUAUUAGAUAUAU
rnacentral:tRNA from 1 species